rnacentral:rRNA from 1 species
GACGGAAGGUGCAAGCGUUGCUCGGAAUCACUGGGCGUAAAGGGUGCGUAGGCGGCUGUGCAAGUCUGGCGUGAAAGCCCCGGGCUCAGCCCGGGAAGUGCGCUCGAAACUGCACGGCUCGAGUGCCGGAGGGGAGAGUGGAAUUCCCGGUGUAGCGGUGAAAUGUGUAGAGAUCGGGAGGAACACCGGUGGCGAAGGCGGGUCUCUGGGCAUCUCCUGACGCUGAGGCGCGAAAGCGUGGGGAGCAAACGGG